UAGGACUUCAACAAGGAAACUUGGUGGGAGGGGAAUAGGGACACAACUCAACCCAUAACAACACUCAAAGACUGUGUUGACAAGUCUGGAUGUGACAUCUAGGAUUCCUGCCUCCAUUACAUCCCAAUCUUGGAGACUGACUCUUCCCAAAGGUCCCCUUUCGACUCACGGCUAGACCACAGGCCCAGGCCCAGCGCCCAGAGGCUCUAGCUCUCCUUGGACUUUCAUAAGCAACUGCUCCUUGAGCUUGACCAUUUCUUCAUUCCUGGACUGGAAUCCUAGAGCGAGAGAUCUGGAAUUGGAGCCCAGAGUGAUCAUCUGGCCCAAGCCCUUCAUUCUGGAGAAUAUGUCCAGAGAAGGAAGGUGACUUGUGGGCCCAGGUCACAUAGGAUGUCACUGGCCAAGUUAUGCUGAAGAAAGACCCAACUAAGGGUGAUACUGGGGUGAAACUGGCCAGUAGACACAUUUUGACCUCGCUUAGACACAUUUGUGCUUAUGUUUCUUACGUAAAAGAAGCAGAGAGAAUGGGCAAGAUACAUAUCAGUGAGGGGCAAAGUGGAAGAAACCAACAGGGAAGGAAAAUAAUCAUCAGAGAGCUAUACUUCUGUCGGGGUGUGAGACACUUUACCUAUAACUCUAACCUCUAACUUUCCUUGGGGGCAGAUUUUCAAUCCCUGUUUUACUGAUGAGAAAACUGAGGCCCCAGAGCAGUUAAAUGACUUGCCCAGGGACACACAGUUCAUCCGUAGCAGAGCCUAGAUGAGAAGCCAAGUCUCUACAUUAUGCCUCUGAUGUUCAUACUUUCUAAUCUCCCCAGCCCAGGCUCCCACAAGGUCAGGUCAAGGUUGUAGCACCCACCUUCUAGCAAUGUACAGCCCCCUGGGAACCUCUGCAAGUCAAAUCACCUCCACAUCACCACUAGGUUAUUUUUUUCAGAACACCUCUGUUUAAGGUUGCCGGAACGCCAUAUAAGCAAAAUUAUACAAUUAUGUGUCCCACCUUCUUUCACCUAAUAUGCUUUUGAGAUUCAUUCAUGUUGUACACAUUCAUUCCUUUUUCUAUUGCUGCAGAGCAUUGCAUUAUGUGGCCACACCAUAGUUUUUCAUCCAUUACCAGCUGAUGGGCAUCUGGAUUGCUACCAGUUUGGGGUUAUUAUGAAUAAGGCUCUGUGUACAGUCACAUACAAGCCUCUGUGUAAACAUAUGCUUUCAUUUCUCUCGGGUAAAUACUAAGGAGUAGAAUUUCCAGGAAUUCUAUUAAGUGUACAUUUAACUUUAUAGGAAACCGCCCAAUCGUUUUCCAAAGUGACCUUACUGUUUUGCAUUUACACCAGCAGUGUAUGAACGCUUUCAUUGCGCCUUAUCCUCACCAACCAGCCCUUGGCACCUAUCUUUUUCAUUUUGGUCAU